CUAAAAAAUAACUUUAAUGUUUUACAAUUUUAAUUUGUAUGAAAUUCAUUGAGGAGGAUGGUCCUCCCCUUCCUCCUCUGAGGAGCCUCCACUGCUUAACAUCCAACCUUAAGUCAUGAGAACCAUACACAAACAUACUGUUCAGAUAUAUCUUUAAAUCACAUUUGAUGAGUUACUGAUAUAAGGGCACAGGGCGAGACCCAGAUGGUUAGAGUCUCUGAUAUUUAUUAUAAUCCAAGGGGCAGGCAAGAGACAGGUCGUGGACAGGCAAAAUAUCAUCAACAGGGUCAGAGUCCAGGAGGUACAGAGUGGCAGGCAGGCUCGAGGUCAGGGCAGGCAGGCUCGAGGUCAGGGCAGGUGGGCUCGAGGGCAGGCGGGCUCGAGGUCAGGGCAGGCGGGCUCGAGGGCAGGCGGGCUCGAGGUCAGGGCAGGCGGGCUCGAGGUCAGGGCAGGCGGGCUCGAGGUCAGGGCAGGCGGGCUCGAGGUCAGGGCAGGCGGGCUCGAGGUCAGGGCAGGCGGGCUCGAGGUCAGGGCAGGCGGGUUCAGAGUCAAGGCAGGCAAGGGUCAAAAACCCGGGAGGACUAGCGAAAGAGCGAGAUAAGAAACAGCAGCAGCACGGAAGAACACGCUGGUUGACUUGACAAGACGAAGUGGCAACAGACAAACAGGGAACACAGGAAUAAAUACACCGGGGACUAAUGAGGAAAACUGGUCACACCUGGAGGUGGGUGGAGACAAUCACAAAGACAGGGUGAAAC
rnacentral:lncRNA from 1 species